rnacentral:rRNA from 1 species
GAUGAACGCUGGCGGCGUGCCUAAUACAUGCAAGUCGAGCGAACAGACGAGGAGCUUGCUCCUCUGACGUUAGCGGCUGACGGGUGAGUAACACGUGGAUAACCUACCUAUAAUACUGGGAUAACUUCGGGAAACCGGAGCUAAUACCAGAUAAUAUAUUGAACCGCAUGGUUCAAUAGUUAAAGACGGUUUUGCUGUCACUUAUAGAUGGAUCCGCGCCGGAUUAGCUAGUUGGUAAGGUAACGGCUUACCAAGGCGACGAUGCGUAGCCGAUCUGAGAGGGUGAUCGGCCACACUGGAACUGAGACACGGUCCAGACUCCUACGGGAGGCAGCAGUAGGGAAUCUUCCGCAAUGGGCGAAAGCCUGACGGAGCAACGCCGCGUGAGUGAUGAAGGUCUUCGGAUCGUAAAACUCUGUUAUUAGGGAAGAAAAAAUGUGUAAGUAACUAUGCACGUCUUGACGGUACCUAAUCAGAAAGCCACGGCUAACUACGUG